CUUGUUUUUAUGGUUCGUCCACGUCUUGUCCUCUCACAAGAUAGAAGUGUUAAUUGUUUCUUCUGCUUCAAGAACCUCUGUUACUUUUUCACUGACUGUGAAGCUGUCUGUUUGCGUUGAAUUUGUAACUCUGAUGAAUCCCGCAAUGUCCCGAUGAUUUUUUUUAAAAGUAUAAAUCCAAACUAUAGAAACGCAGGAUAAUGUGUUAAAAUACGGGGAAUUUUUGUAACACUAUUAGUGCAAUUUCGUUAAGAAACCAAUUCGUUUAAAAUGGUUGCCGAAAAACGCUGCUUGCAAAAAAGAAAAAGAAAAUUCUUU
rnacentral:lncRNA from 1 species